CGGCCACGGUAUUUCAUUUUUUUCCAUAUAAUUAAUUAAAGAAUUUUACAUUUUUUUCAUUUUUUUUUUUUAAUUAGACUCUCAUCAACUUUGCUAUAACCGAACAUAUCGGUAGAAGUUCGAAGAAAACUAGAUUAUUAUGAACAACUGAUUUCUCAUUGAGCAAGAAGACAACCCAUCGGAUGAAUGUGGUGAACUUUUCAACAUAUAAAGGAAAAGGUUCUAUGACAGCAGGUGAGGUUGAUAAUAAGGUCAACGAGGCAGUCGAGAGGGCAAUGGCUAGUCAGAAUGAAGCGAUGACUCGUCAGAAUAAAACGAUGGCUCGUCAAAUGAAAUUCUUACAACAAUACAACGCGACAAUACUCGCUCAGAAUCCGAACAUGCACUUACCAGAAUUUCCCACAUUCUUCAACGAAACUACGGCGCAACCCGUGGGAGGGUUUAACAUAAAUUCUUCUGGAACGUCGACUUCUAGAGCACCUCAAGUACAACUGCACGAAACUACGUCUCUUCAACAUACAAUGCCAUAAGAGGAGCACACUACUCCACAACCGCGCAGAGGAAGAUCGAUUAUCUUCACAAUAAAAGCAUUACGAAAGGUGGUCGGAACUAAAAAAAAAAAGAGCAAAAAAUAGAAAUUAUAAUUACCGAAUUUAAUUUCUGUCGUACUUUCAAUAUCGAACAUCAUUUUCAAUUUCAAUUUCAAUUUAUUAAUUUCAUACAAUUUCAAUUAUAUAAAUAUAUUUCUAUUAAAUUUCAUUAUUUAAAUAAAAAAUAUUUCAAAUAAAAAAAAUUUUAAAAAAAAAAUUACAAUUAAAAAUUAAAAAAUUCCAUUGAGAACCAACGACUUGGCUCCCAGAAUUUUUUUCCCGGGGAAUUUUUUUUUCUGUCGAGAAAUAUUGACCAGCGGCCUAGCCGCCGGGAAUUUUUUGAAUAAUUUACACUACCAGUGGCCAGGCCACCAGGAUAUAAUUUUCAAAAAAAUAUGCUUGCGGCUAAACCGCCGGAACCAUUUCUGUUAAAAACGGAAUCCACAAUUUAUUGCCGGUGGCCUGGCCGUCGGUAAAUUACAAUUCUGACGACAUUACUUCCGGCGAUGGAAUACCGUCGGCUUAGCCGCCAAGAACCAUUAUACCGGCGGCCUGGCCGUCGGAAUUUACCGCCAGAACAACGCUGGUUUUUUGUAGUGCGUAUUUGGUAACUUCAAUAUGGUAUCGCAUCGACCGAAAAUGUCGAUGGCACUAUAGAUCCUACUUCCGCUACAGACACUGGAUCGGGGGACACACUGCUGGUCACGGCGUCUCUGGACGCUCUGGGUCCGACACAUUCGUCGGCAAAGGUGGUUAUCAUAAAAAAUUGAAGUGUGUUAUCCUAGAAGAGGAUAACUACUUUAGCUGGUGAGCGUAGAUCGAUCGGCUCUUCUCCGAGGCUACAUGCUCCUCGAUUACUUGGAAGGAAGGGUGCUGACACAUGAAUGUACACCAGUCACUCCCAUCAACAUGAACUAGGGUUCCGUUCGCUAUAUGUCGGACCCCCAGAAGACUCCCACGAGAGAGGAACUAAAGUCUUCGUCAAUGACCCGAGUCAACUUUCCUGAUCGCCGAUUUGGUCUGCCAAAUUGCCGAUUUGAGUGGCAAAUCAUCGAGUUAAGGACAAGAUCGUCAGAGUCUGGAAGACUACCAAUCUUCCCCUUUGAACUCGUCGAGUUUGUCACUAAAUCGUCGAUUCACCCUCAAAUCGUCGAUUCAGACGGUUACUCGCGUCCAGCUCGAGACAUAAUGCAUGUAACAAUCGCCAUUAUGGCCGGGCGCGAUCAUCGUCGCGGAUUACGUCCCCAGAGGUACUAUAAAAGAGGACCUUGGACCUAUUCCAAAGGCAUUAGUUCUACCCUUUCUAGAACGUAUUACACGGAGCGAAUCGUCGAUUCUCACACUGAAAUCGUCGAUUACCUCCCGGAAGACUUGACGUAGAGCGCACGUCGUGGAUCUCAGAGCCUCCGGCACACCAAGGCAGUCGCUUGUACCACCGUGAGUGCUGAUAAGACAUUCCGUGCUUCAUCAGCUGACGUCGUCUGUGGGACAAUCGGACUCGCCGAUUUCCUUCACAAAUCGCCGAUUUUUUUCGAUAAGUUCCGCUGAUUUCAUUUGAAAUCGACGACUUUUCAAAAAAUCAUCAAUUUUUCAAGAAAUUGUCUAACCGUCAUAGGCAUCUGACCACAAAGCUUUGCCAAAAUUCCCUGGUGCACAGAAUCGCCGAUUUGUGCUUGAUUUUUUGGUGACAUCGUCAAGUCACUUGUGGAACUGUGGUCCAUUAAGCCAAAUCACCGAUUUCCAUUUGAAAUCUUCGAUUUGGUCUCCCACAUUUCGCUCACUACGCCAAAUUGCCGAUUUUCAUCUGAAAUCUCUGAUUUGGUCUUACACAUUUCGUUCGCUAAGCGAAAUCGUCAAUUUCCAUCAGAAAUCGCCGAUUUGGUCUUCUCGUGGAUCGUCUCUACAUUUAUCGCUUCGGCUGAAUUAGACUAUCCACAACCCAUCACUUAGGCUGGGCUCAUAAUCCAUCUCUACGGUUGAAUUCGUCUCUUCGUCUCAUAUAUCCCUACUUUACAAGGAAAGUUGGCAAUUUUUCACCAACUCCAGGGGGUAUCGCAAACAACUAAAGAUUUCUCCAUCACCUUGCCUGGGAAAUAUUUCGUAAAAAAUCAAAAUGUCUGUCACUUCGGUUAGUAAUUCAAAAAUCUGUCGCGUCAACAUGAUUCUCGGGGGGAGUAUCACAAGUUCUCUCUAGCACUUCCGUCACUUCGAACAGAAACUUCAAUAUUUUAAAAUUUUGUCGUGUCAACAUGAUUCUCGGGGGGAGUAUCUCAAGUUCUUUCCAACACUUCCGUCGUUUCGACCGAAAAUUUCAGUAAUUCAAAAAUUUGUCGCGUCGACAUGAUUAUCAUAGGGAGUAUCACAAACUCUCUCCAACACUUCCGUCGUCGUUUCGGAUAGAAACUUCAAUAUUUCAGAAACAAGAGUUGAGACAAUUCGAUUUAUUUCGGCAAUUGUACGAUCGCCUCCAACAGGCUACUAUAGCAUUACAAUAUAAGACAUCCAAACCAUUUUAAGAAACAGAAGCAUUUACGAAAUACAGAAAAAAUAGAUGAAAGUAAAGACAUAGUGAAAAAACGUCGAAAGACCGCUUAGUGAUUCUUUAGACCUAGACAUUGCUUUUUGUUUAAAUUUUUUACAAAAUCACGGUAAACUAAGAAACAUAGAUUGACGAUCCUAAAAAAUGUGAAAUCAAACCAUGAAAGAGUACUAUGCUAAUGGAUUAUAAAAGAGGGAAAAAAGCGUACCUUACUUUCUUACCAACAGUAUACCUUGCUGCCUUCACAACCUUCUUCCUCCACCAUGAAAAACAGAGUCAAUAAAAACCGAUUUUUUGAUGGGGAAAUAUUAUAAAUAGAUAGAAAAAAGCAGUUGUCAAACCUCUUCUCCAAGUAAACGUGUCUGAGGCCUGAAGGCAACGAUUCACGCAAAUUUCGAUUUUCA
rnacentral:lncRNA from 1 species